rnacentral:rRNA from 1 species
AUACGGAGGAUCCGAGCGUUAUCCGGAUUUAUUGGGUUUAAAGGGAGCGUAGGUGGACAGUUAAGUCAGUUGUGAAAGUUUGCGGCUCAACCGUAAAAUUGCAGUUGAUACUGGCUGUCUUGAGUACAGUAGAGGUGGGCGGAAUUCGUGGUGUAGCGGUGAGAUGCUUAGAUAUCACGAAGAACUCCGAUUGCGAAGGCAGCUCACUGGACUGCAACUGACACUGAUGCUCGAAAGUGUGGGUAUCAAACAGGAUUAGAUACCCUGGUAGUCCACGCAGUAAACGAUGAAUACUCGCUGUUUGCGAUAUACAGUAAGCGGCCAAGCGAAAGCAUUAAGUAUUCCACCUGGGGAGUACGCCGGCAACGGUGAAACUUAAAGGAAUUGACGGGG